UACUGGUAAAGCAGCUCUUGAAUAUAUUUAUAUCUAGAUAAAUAGGAGAAAUAUAUUCAAUAAACGAUUUGCCUGACAUUGGGUGUCGUAGAACGCCAGAGUGCGUUGUAAAGCGACUUUAUAUAUAUAUUGUGGUGAAGUUUUAUUAAUUUCUGAUGAGCAACAAAUAUUCAAGGUAACGAACAAAAAUAUAGUGAGACUCAGCACUCGGCUCAGGCCCAGAAUAGGUUUUCUCCUUCUCUCUUUCUCUCUCCCAACCCCUCCGUAUCUCCUUCUCCCUUCUCUCUUCGUCUCUCCUCUCUUCCUUCAAGCGGGCACCAUUUCAAACUUUUCUGUCUAAUAAUCAUGUGACUUCAGAGUCAUUUGAAAGGCAUAAUCGGGAACAUAGGCUUUGACGAAUUACAAGUUAAGAUUUAGUCACGUAAUAUUCCAACGUUCCAGGUUUUUAAUUUUAUUUCAGAAGAUCGCUGAUUUUUCCAGAUUUGCAGGUUUUGUUUCACGGGUCGCGAUUGCGUCGGCUCCUUCUCUUUACCGGUAAAUCACGGCGAGAAAAUUCAAAAUGCCGGCGCGAAAGUAGGACAGACAAAGCGAGGAAAUUACACACUAAGACCGUGACAAAUGAAAAAUGCCAGGGGUAGUGUCAGGAGAGGUACUCCCGACAAUAAUCAUAAAUCAUGCAUAAUUCUUUCAUUAUGAUGAGUGGCUGCAUUUCCCUUUUCCAUCUUCCUCCCGCCAGGGGAAAAACGCAAAAGAACCCGUGAGUUAGAAUAAGCUUAUCACGCUUAUGACUUGUCACUUCAAAAGGCUUUGAUUGCGUUAGAAAGGCCAGUUCGGAGGAAAUAAUAUUUAUAAGUAUCUAAGGUUCUUCUGACAAAACACUCAGUUAUUAGAAAAUGGGGCUACUAUUAAAGAAAAAAAGUAGAAAAUAUUAAAAGCUUUCAGAUGAGACUUAUUUUUACAGGAUGCUAUUAUUGAAGUGCCUUUAAACGAAGAGUGCACGCUGUACGAUUACCAGUCUCUGGGAGACCCUCCGGCGUUGAUGAUUCUGAAAAGUUGGUAACACUCUUUUACCCCUACUUAACUGUUUGUUUAACAAUCGAUUCUUGGUGAUGCAGCCUGCCUCACCUUAAAGCAAUAUUUUCAAUGGAUUUAAAUGGGUAAAAAACAGUGCCGCCAACUUCGCAAGAUCGCCUCUGCCCUUUGGAUAAAAAACGGUGAUUAUGUGGGAUCGAGUAAGAAAGCAGUUAAAUUGUUAAUUACAACCUACUUCAGACGAUUCUCAAAGAUACCCACAUUGAAUUUCCAGAAAAAAUAAAGAGGUAAAAAAUCAAAACUACCCCCCGAACACUUUCAAAUAUUUAUAAAACAUUAAACGGAUUCCUUUAUCUCAGCAAA